AGAGUUUGAUCCUGGCUCAGGAUGAACGCUAGCGGCAGGCCUAACACAUGCAAGUCGAGGGGUAUAAGAAGCUUGCUUUUUAGAGACCGGCGCACGGGUGAGUAUCGCGUAUGCAAUCUACCUUUUACAAAGGAAUAGCCCAGAGAAAUUUGGAUUAAUGCCUUAUAGCGUUGCGAGAUGGCAUCAUUUUGCAACUAAAGAUUUAUCGGUAAAAGAUGAGCAUGCGUCCCAUUAGCUAGUUGGUGUGGUAACGGCACACCAAGGCAAUGAUGGGUAGGGGUCCUGAGAGGGAGAUCCCCCACACUGGUACUGAGACACGGACCAGACUCCUACGGGAGGCAGCAGUGAGGAAUAUUGGUCAAUGGAGGCAACUCUGAACCAGCCAUGCCGCGUGCAGGAAGACGGUCCUAUGGAUUGUAAACUGCUUUUAUACAGGAAGAAAUGACAUUACGUGUAGUGUUUUGACGGUACUGUAGGAAUAAGGAUCGGCUAACUCCGUGCCAGCAGCCGCGGUAAU
rnacentral:rRNA from 1 species